rnacentral:rRNA from 1 species
CCGCGAAUUGGUUGAUCUAAGCCAUGCGAGUCUUUGUAGUAUACAAGGCAGACGGCUCAGUAACGCGUAGUCAAUCUACCCUAUGGACGGGGAUAACCUCGGGAAACUGAGAAUAAUACCCGAUAGAACAUUAUGCCUGGAAUGGUUUAUGUUCCAAAUGAUUUAUCGCCGUAGGAUGGGACUGCGGCCUAUCAGUUUGUUGGUGAGGUAAUGGCCCACCAAGACUAUUACAGGUACGGGCUUUGAGAGGAGUGGCCCGGAGAUGGGUACUGAGACACGGACCCAGGCCCUAUGGGGCGCAGCAGGCGAGAAAACUUUGCAAUGUGCGAAAGCACGACAAGGUUAAUCCGAGUGGUUUCUGCUAAAGAGACCUUUUGUCGGUCCUAGAAACACCUAUGAAUAAGGGGUGGGCAAGUUCUGGUGUCAGCCGCCGCGGUAAAACCAGCACCUCAAGUGGUCAGGAUGAUUAUUGGGCCUAAAGCAUCCGUAGCCGGCUCUGUUAGUUAGUUUUCGGUUAAAUCUGUACGCUUAACGUACAGGCUGCCGGGAAUACUGCAGAGCUAGGGAGUGGGAGAGGUAGACGGUACUCGGUAGGAAGGGGUAAAAUCCUUUGAUCUAUUGAUGACCACCUGUGGCGAAGGCGGUCUACCAAAACACGUCCGACGGUGAGGGAUGAAAGCUGGGGGAGCAAACCGGAUUACAUACCCGGGUAGUCCCAGCUGUAAACCAUGCAAACUCAGUGAUGCAUUUGCUUGUGGCCAAUGCAAUGCUGCAGGGAAACCGUUAAUUUUGCCGCCUGGGGAGUACGUACGCAAGUAUGAAACUCAAAUGAAUUGACGGA